rnacentral:rRNA from 1 species
UCGGGAAUUUUGGGCAAUGGGCGAAAGCCUGACCCAGCAACGCCGCGUGAGGGAUGAAGUAUUUCGGUAUGUAAACCUCGAAAGAAUGGGAAGAAUAAAUGACGGUACCAUUCAUAAGCUCCGGCUAACUACGUGCCAGCAGCCGCGGUAAUACGUAGGGAGCAAGCGUUGUUCGGAUUUACUGGGCGUAAAGGGCGCGUAGGCGGCGCGGUAAGUCACUUGUGAAAUCUCUGAGCUUAACUCAGAACGGCCAAGUGAUACUGCUGUGCUAGAGUGCGGAAGAGGCGACCGGAAGUCUGGGUGUAGCGGUGAAAUACGUAGAUAUCAAGAGGACCACCUGAGGCGAAGGCGGGUUGCUGGGCCGACACUGACGCUGAUG